rnacentral:rRNA from 1 species
ACGCUCGACACCUACGGGAGGUAGCAGUGGGGAAUAUUGCACAAUGGGGGAAACCCGUGAUGCAGCGAUGCCGCGUGAAGGAAGAAGUAUCUCGGUAUGUAAACUUCUAUCAGCAGGGAAGAAAAUGACGGUACCUGACUAAGAAGCCCCGGCUAACUACGUGCCAGCAGUCGCGGUAAUCUGAGCGGGCUGGCAAGGC